rnacentral:tRNA from 2 species
GGCCCCAUCGUCUAGAGGCCUAGGACGCCAGCCUUUCAAGCUGGUAGCACGGGUUCGAAUCCCGUUGGGGCCACCA